rnacentral:rRNA from 1 species
AGCUUGCUGGGUGGAUUAGUGGCGAACGGGUGAGUAACACGUGAGUAACCUGCCCUUGACUCUGGGAUAAGCCUGGGAAACUGGGUCUAAUACCGGAUAGGAGCGCCUACCGCAUGGUGGGUGUUGGAAAGAUUUAUCGGUUUUGGAUGGACUCGCGGCCUAUCAGCUUGUUGGUGAGGUAAUGGCUCACCAAGGCGACGACGGGUAGCCGGCCUGAGAGGGUGACCGGCCACACUGGGACUGAGACACGGCCCAGACUCCUACGGGAGGCAGCAGUGGGGAAUAUUGCACAAUGGGCGCA